rnacentral:rRNA from 1 species
GACGAACGCUGGCGGCGUGCCUAAUACAUGCAAGUCGAGCGGACUGAUUAAGAGCUUGCUCUUAUGACGUUAGCGGCGGACGGGUGAGUAACACGUGGGCAACCUGCCCUGUAGAUCGGGAUAACACCGAGAAAUCGGUGCUAAUACCGGGUAAUAUCUGAGAUCACAUGAUCUUAGGUUAAAAGAUGGCUCCGGCUAUCACUACAGGAUUGGCCCGCGGCGCAUUAGCUAGUUGGUAAGGUAAUGGCUUACCAAGGCGACGAUGCGUAGCCGACCUGAGAGGGUGAUCGGCCACACUGGGACUGAGACACGGCCCAGACUCCCACGGGAGGCAGCAGGAGGGAAUCUUCCGCAAUGGACGAAAGUCUGACGGAGCAACGCCGCGUGAGUGAUGAAGGGUUUCGGCUCGUAAAGCUCUGUUGUUAGGGAAGAAACAGUACCGAACGAACUAGGUCGGUACCUUGACGGUACCUAACCAGAAAGCCACGGCUAACUACGUG